GGUUGUAUGGUCCAACGGUCAAGACGUCAGAUUCUGAAGUUCUAGCAAGGUAUAAUCCCUUCCUUUCUGAAGACCUGUGUUCGAUUCACAGUACGACCU